GACGAACGCUGGCGGCGUGCUUAACACAUGCAAGUCGAACGAUGAAGCCGGAGCUUGCUCUGGUGAAUUAGUGGCGAACGGGUGAGUAACACGUGAGUAACCUGCCCUUGACUCUGGGAUAACUGCGGGAAACUGUAGCUAAUACCGGAUACGACCCUUGGAGGCAUCUCCUGGGGGUGGAAAGAAUUUCGGUCAAGGAUGGACUCGCGGCCUAUCAGCUAGUUGGUGAGGUAACGGCUCACCAAGGCGACGACGGGUAGCCGGCCUGAGAGGGUGACCGGCCACACUGGGACUGAGACACGGCCCAGACUCCUACGGGAGGCAGCAGUGGGGAAUAUUGCACAAUGGGCGCAAGCCUGAUGCAGCAACGCCGCGUGAGGGAUGACGGCCUUCGGGUUGUAAACCUCUUUUAGCAGGGAAGAAGCGAAAGUGACGGUACCUGCAGAAAAAGCACCGGCUAACUACGUGCCAGCAGCCGCCGUAA
rnacentral:rRNA from 1 species